UGGUGCAGCGCAGCUCGCUGCUUCCCCUCCUACCUCCCAGGGUUUUCCUAGGCCCGGGAACCAGGGGGUCCUGCCCUCAACCUGCCCUACAGUCUCCAAGCCCCCCACUCUCUCUAACCCCCACCCAUGUCACGGCCACAAGCCACAAAAGACAGGAAGCAAGUCUACGUUGCUUAGUAACCAACCCGCGUGCCCCCCUCCCCACUACUUACCCCAGCCUCCUUCCUAUCCUAUGCCCUUUGCCCUGCUGCCCGCAAUUUCCUGUGAGGGGGCCCAGGUGACACGAAGUCAAAUGAGGGCCUCAACCCACUUUCCCUCAGGCCGGGACGGGGUCUUCAGCUGCUCCCAUGGUCACAUCCCCCACUCGCACCGCCCUCAGCUCUAGGCCGGAAGUGGAUCGUGGGCAUGAGGCAGACAAGCUGCAUGGGCUCUGCCUCCACCAAGCAGGAGUUCUUCCGGUCCCAGCCAGCACCCUCCAGCACCCUCUUUUGCUCAGAGCCCCAAGAACAUCUGGCUCCCACCUUGGGUGGAUACACUAGGUUGCUGUCAUCCACAGUGGAAACGAUAAACUCCCAGGAGAGGCUGUCCACUGAAAUCUGGGGGUUGAAGGUUUGGAGCAGCGGGAAAACUGUGGUUCUGUCAUCAGUUGGUAAAGACGCGUCAUGUUGGCCUUUAGGCCCUAGGGACAAUGAAGUACACAGUUGCCAUGCAGCAUACUCAGCCCUGCCUCUAGCGCCACCAUGUACAGAUGUGGAGACUGUUCACUGCACAAAGGCACUGGCAGAAGGGAGAUUGGAGUCUUGCUAUGUUGCCCAGGUUAGUCUCAAACUCCUGGCCUCACGUGAUCCUCCUCCUGCCUCAGCUUCACAGAAUGCUGAGAUCACAGGUAUGAGUCACUCUGCUCAGCCACUGCCUCCCACUUUUAUCAUGCAGUCCUAAAUAGCACCUGCCUCCAAACUUACACACCUCCUCCCAUCACAGGACGCUCAAGCAACAAAGAACCAUCUAGCUGGCAGGGCACAUACCUCUCUUAGACGUGAAAAAAAAAAGUUCUUUAAAAAAAUGCAGAAAAAAAAUUCCAUUACACUGGUAACACAUUUCUGAACUAUUUGACAUUUUAAAAAGGGGCAUAAAAAUAAAAGAAAAUAAAAAUCAACUUUAAACAUA